rnacentral:lncRNA from 1 species
CUAGCCAUUCUAGGAUUUGAUCGAUGAAGGAUAAUAAAAAAUGAUUCUUUCUAGUAACGGCAUUUAGUGUCCUAUAGUCAAUGCACACUCGCCAACUAGAUGGUGUGUGAGUGGGAAGCAGUUUACCUUCUUCAUUCUCCACCACAGUAAUACCUAAUUUCUUAUGUACUAUUUGAGUGGGGCUGACUCAUUUAUUGUUGGAUAUGGGGUAGAUGAUUCAGCAUCUAACUACUUUACCAUCUCUU